CAAUAGCGUAUAUUUAAGUUGUUGCAGUUAAAAAGCUCGUAGUUGGAUUUCGGGUGGGACGCAGCGGUCUCGCAUUGCGUUUGUACUGCUGCAGCCCUCCUUCUUGCCGGGGGCGGCCUCUCGGACUUCACUGUCUAGGGGUCAGAAUCGGCGAUGUUACUUUGAGUAAAUUAGAGUGUUCAAAGCAAGCUUACGCUCUGAAUAUAAUAGCAUGGGAUAACACGACAGGACUCUGGCCUAUCGUGUUGGUCUAUAGGACCAGAGUAAUGAUUAAGAGGGACAGUCGGGGGCAUUCGUAUUCCGUUGUCAGAGGUGAAAUUCUUGGAUUUACGGAAGACGAACAUCUGCGAAAGCAUUUGCCAAGGAUGUUUUCAUUGA
rnacentral:rRNA from 1 species